rnacentral:Y_RNA from 1 species
GUCUGGUCCCAAGGUAGUGAGUUAUCUCACUUGUUUGUUCACAGUCAGCUACAGAUUGAACUCCUUGUUCUACUACUGUCCCCUUCUCACUACUGCAUUUGUCAAAAACAAA